rnacentral:rRNA from 1 species
CCCUUAGAUGUUCUGGGCCGCACGCGCGCUACACUGACGGAGACAACAAGCCUAUCCUUGGCCGAGAGGUCCGGGUAAUCUUCGAAACUCCGUCGUGAUGGGGCUAGAUGAUUGCAAUUAUUCAUCUUCAACGAGGAAUCCCUAGUAAGGGCGCGUCAUCAACGCGUCCUGAUUACGUCCCUGCCCUUUGUACACACCGCCCGUCGCUCCUACCGAUUGAAUGGUCCGGUGAGUUGUCAGGAUGAGACGCUUUUGGCGGGCAACUGCGAGAAGCGACUCAGAAUCUCAGCAAACCUUNUNAUUUAUNGGAAGGAGAANUCGUANCA